GAAAUGCGAUAAGUAAUGUGAAUUGCAGAAUUCAGUGAAUCAUCGAAUCUUUGAACGCACCUUGCGCUCCUUGGUAUUCCGAGGAGCAUGCCUGUUUGAGUGUCAUUAAUAUAUCAACCUCUUCAGCUUUUGCUUGUUGAGUGUUGGAUGUGGGGGUCCUUUUGCUGGUCUUUUCAAAAGGUCAGCUCCCCUAAAAUGUAUUAGCGGAACAAUUUGUUGACCGUUCAUUGGUGUGAUAAUUAUCUACGCUAUUGACGUGAGGCAGUUCAGCUUCUAACAGUCCAUUGACUUGGACAGCUUUUUAUUAAUGUGACCUCAAAUCAGGUAGGACUACCCGCUGAACUUAA
rnacentral:misc_RNA from 1 species